AUUGAACGCUGGCGGCACGCCUAACACAUGCAAGUCGAGCGGUAACAUGGUUAGUAGCAAUACUAACUGAUGACGAGCGGCGGACGGGUGAGGAACACGUAGGAACCUGCCCAAGAGAGGGGGAUAACUAAGGGAAACUUUAGCUAAUACCGCAUAAUUCUCUGAGGAGAAAAGUUGCCCGUAAGGGUAGCGCUUUUGGAGGGGCCUGCGUCCGCUUAGUUAGUUGGUGAGGUAAUGGCUCACCAAGACUGUGAUCGGUAACUGGUCUGAGAGGACGACCAGUCGCGCUGGGACUGAGACACGGCCCAGACUCCUACGGGAGGCAGCAGUGGGGAAUCUUGGACAAUGGGGGCAACCCUGAUCCAGCGAUGCCGCGUGGGUGAAGAAGGCCUUCGGGUUGUAAAGCCCUUUAGGCUGGGAAGAAGUUUAUGGGAUGAAUAAUCCUGUAAAUUGACGGUACCAGCAGAAUAAGCACCGGCAAACUCUGUGCCAGCCGCCGCGGUAAUAC
rnacentral:rRNA from 1 species